rnacentral:rRNA from 1 species
CCUACGGGUGGCAGCAGUGGGGAAUAUUGCACAAUGGGGGAAACCCUGAUGCAGCGACGCCGCGUGAGCGAUGAAGUAUUUCGGUAUGUAAAGCUCUAUCAGCAGGGAAGAAAAUGACGGUACCUGACUAAGAAGCCCCGGCUAACUACGUGCCAGCAGCCGCGGUAAUACGUAGGGGGCAAGCGUUAUCCGGAUUUACUGGGUGUAAAGGGAGCGUAGACGGCGGUGCAAGCCAGAUGUGAAAGCCCGGGGCUCAACCCCGGGACUGCAUUUGGAACUGUGCUGCUAGAGUGUCGGAGAGGCAGGCGGAAGUCCUAGGGUCGCGGGGAGGUGCGUAGAUAUUAGGGGGAGCACCAGUGGCGAAGGCGGGCUGCUGGACGAUGACUGACGUGGAGGCUCGAAAGCGGGGGGAGCAAACAGGAUUAGAGACCCUUGUAGUC